UACAGAGGUCUCAAGCGUUGUUCGGAUUCAUUGGGCGUAAAGGGUGCGUAGGCGGCGCGGUAAGUCGGGUGUGAAAUCUUGGAGCUUAACUCCGAAACUGCAUUCGAUACUGCCGUGCUUGAGGACUGGAGAGGAGACUGGAAUUUACGGUGUAGCGGUGAAAUGCGCAGAUAUCGGGAAGAACGCCCGUGGCGAAGGCGGUUCUCUGGGACGGUACUGACGCUGAGACGCGAAAGCGUGGGGAGCGAACAGG
rnacentral:rRNA from 1 species